AUCGCUUCUCGGCCUUUUGGCUAAGAUCAAGUGUAGUAUCUGAGUGGGAGAAGCAGGUCAGUGGAGUUCAGCACAGGUUGUUCAUACAGACACUCAGACCAGGCUCAGUGUGAAGGGAUGACUUAGAAAUUACGGAUAUGGCAAUUUGGGACCCACUCAUCCAGUAGGCGCUCCAUGAAUGCCUGCUGAGGGAAGUGAUG